AUGACACCUACGCUAAAGACAACUGGGCAGCGGUUGAUUGACAGGUGAGGGGUUGUGCUUCACUGCUGUCUGGGAUGGAUUCAGGAUGGAUUAGCGUUUCACACCUCAAAUGCGAUGUGAUCACACCUCAUAGUCAAUCUUGAAUUUCUGCACCAUUCCCAGCUCCAUAAACAUCCUCAGAGCUGCAGUGACCAUGGCGUCCACAUCCAGAGAGAAAUCAUCAAAUGAGAGUUUAUCAAUGCCCAGUUCACACACCAGAGGAAUGUUUGC